rnacentral:rRNA from 1 species
UGCCCUUAUAAGUAGUGGCGAACGGGUGCGUAACACGUGAGUAACCUGCCCCAUAGUUUGGAAUAACACCGGGAAACCGAUGCUAAUACCAAAUAUGCUCGCACUAGCACAAGCUAGAGCAAGGAAAGAUUUAUCGCUUUGGGAGGGGCUCGCGGCCUAUCAGCUUGUUGGUGAGGUAACGGCUCACCAAGGCUUCGACGGGUAGCUGGUCUGAGAGGACGAUCAGCCACACUGGGACUGAGACACGGCCCAGACUCCUACGGGAGGCAGCAGUGGGGAAUAUUGCGCAAUGGGCGAAAGCCUGACGCAGCAACGCCGCGUGGAGGAUGAAGGCUCUAGGGUCGUAAACUCCUUUCAGCAGGAAAGAAAAUGACGGUACCUGCAGAAGAAGCUCCGGCCAACUACGUGCCAGCAGCCGCGGUAAUACGUAGGGAGCAAGCGUUGUCCGGAUUUAUUGGGCGUAAAGAGCUCGCAGGCGGCUUAGAUAGUCGGAUGUUAAACCCCUAGGCUUAACCUAGGGCAGCCAUUCGAUACUACUAUGGCUAGAGU